rnacentral:rRNA from 1 species
CUACGGGCGGCAGCAGUGGGGAAUAUUGCACAAUGGGCGCAAGCCUGAUGCAGCCAUGCCGCGUGUAUGAAGAAGGCCUUCGGGUUGUAAAGUACUUUCAGCGGGGAGGAAGGGAGUAAAGUUAAUACCUUUGCUCAUUGACGUUACCCGCAGAAGAAGCACCGGCUAACUCCGUGCCAGCAGCCGCGGUAAUACGGAGGGCGCAAGCGUUAAUCGGAAUUACUGGGCGUAAAGCGCACGCAGGCGGUUUGUUAAGUCAGAUGUGAAAUCCCCGGGCUCAACCUGGGAACUGCAUCUGAUACUGGCAAGCUGGAGUCUCGUAGAGGGGGGUAGAAUUCCAGGUGUAGCGGUGAAAUGCGUAGAGAUCUGGAGGAAUACCGGUGGCGAAGGCGGCCCCCUGGACGAAGACUGACGCUCAGGUGCGAAAGCGUGGGGAGCAAACAGGAUUAGAUACCCCAGUAGUC